rnacentral:rRNA from 2 species
CAGGCUUAACACAUGCAAGUCGAGCGGGGAAAAGUAGCUUGCUACUUUACCUAGCGGCGGACGGGUGAGUAAUGCUUAGGAAUCUGCCUAUUAGUGGGGGACAACAUUUCGAAAGGAAUGCUAAUACCGCAUACGUCCUACGGGAGAAAGCAGGGGACCUUCGGGCCUUGCGCUAAUAGAUGAGCCUAAGUCGGAUUAGCUAGUUGGUGGGGUAAAGGCCUACCAAGGCGACGAUCUGUAGCGGGUCUGAGAGGAUGAUCCGCCACACUGGGACUGAGACACGGCCCAGACUCCUACGGGAGGCAGCAGUGGGGAAUAUUGGACAAUGGGGGCAACCCUGAUCCAGCCAUGCCGCGUGUGUGAAGAAGGCCUUUUGGUUGUAAAGCACUUUAAGCGAGGAGGAGGCUCCCAGUAUUAAUACUACUGGAGAGUGGACGUUACUCGCAGAAUAAGCACCGGCUAACUCUGUGCCAGCAGCCGCGGUAAUACAGAGGGUGCAAGCGUUAAUCGGAUUUACUGGGCGUAAAGCGUGCGUAGGUGGCCAAUUAAGUCAAAUGUGAAAUCCCCGAGCUUAACUUGGGAAUUGCAUUCGAUACUGGUUGGCUAGAGUAUGGGAGAGGAUGGUAGAAUUCCAGGUGUAGCGGUGAAAUGCGUAGAGAUCUGGAGGAAUACCGAUGGCGAAGGCAGCCAUCUGGCCUA